UAUAGUAGCGUGGACAGUUCCAGCGGCGGAUGAACUAGCGGCUAGUACUAUCCCUGUGUACAGGCACCUUUACAGUGUAACUGCGAACAAAUGAUCCUCUGACAUCAUAGCUAGGGAGCGACAACUCACACGUCUUGUUUUACAGUCUACACGGUUGAUUUUCUCGUGGUUGGACGGUCAUGGUUGAUUUUCACGGACAUUUCCGCCUUUGUUAAUGGUCUGUAUAACCAACGGCUGUCAUUGCAGGCCGAUGAUAAUAAAAUACCAGAACUUCACGACUCGACGACUGCCGCUGAAAUAUACUGAUGGUCGUAUUUUAGACGUAACGGAAAGAAUAUUUGAAUAUUUGAUUGUUACCUAAAUGUAAGUGUAGUUUAAUCGUACAAUCUUAACAACGAAAUAGGUUUAAUAUAUUCUUGGAGACUCUCGUGUUCGCGCAUUUUAUUCGAAAUGCUGAAAAUAACUACUGAAUGUUUUCGUGUUGGUCUUUGUUAUUUUAGUUCAAGCGAAAUUACAACUUUUUAACGAAUGAGGUCCAAUUAAUUAUCUUCUCGCUUUAAUAAUUUUCACAAAAUUUUAAAUAUUAUAGAAAUGAGGAUAAGUCUGAGAAAUUCAAAUAUUACUAUCCGAAGAUAGGUAUUUAUUAUUCGAAUUGAAACCUAAAGUCACACUUUUUUGGCUUCAGGAGGCAGAACCUAAUUCUACAUUAGGCAAGCUGUAUCGGUACGCCAGUCCAUGGGAGAAGGAUUAUCCUCGCGCAAACGAAAAACUUUUAUCUGGCGAGAACGCUCAUGUUGGCAUCAAAUCCUCGAUGUACGGGAUCAUGAAUUACUAUUUUGUAAAGACCCGCACGUGCCCUCUAAUCAUCAAAGACAGUUUCUCUCUUCCUGGCUCACCCUGCAUGUGCUAUCGCAAAAAUUCUUCAUACACGGCCCCGUUCAACAAACAGCUUGGGCUUGGCUACAAUAUCGUUCAUCGUUGAAUUAAGCUUCCGCAGUUGGAAGUAAUUAAGAUUUAAGGAGAAGCUAGAGCUUCAGCUCACGAUGAACUACGUGCAAUCAAGAUGCCAACUCCAACUCCGACUUACUGUUGCUGUGUUGAAAGCGAUACUCGCAGCUACAAUAAAUAUGAAUGCAACUAUUUAAACAAAAGAACACUAAUAAAAAACAUGCUCAAAGGCGACACUAUUGCAAUAUAUUUAUAUCUGAAAGGCCAUACAAGGAAAGUGACGCUGAAUUUUAGUAAAUAGAAUGAGGUCAGUGGGGUGUAAACUUGAAUAAACUAUGAUACCGAAUACGUGUACAUGUGAAGACAACAAGGAAAAAAUUUCACGACAUUCACGUCAAGUGAAGUACCCAAAUAAUAUGAUUAAUUGUAUCUUCGUAACUUGAGAAUAUUACUCAAGAAAUAUAAUAUAAAAUGAAUUGUAUAUUCUAUACUACAUAUAGGUAAAAUAUCCGUUAUGUGAACAUUUGAACAUAUCGUCCGUUUUUUGUGGCUCAGAAAAGCGAGCAGGUUGAAAUUAUGUCGUUGGAACUUCAUAUAUGCAUAAAAAUACAAGCAUUGCACAUCA
rnacentral:misc_RNA from 1 species